CGAAAGCCACACCAGUUGAAACAGCCAGUUCUGAUGGGGCUUGCAAGAGGCAGCUGCAAGCAGAGCUGGGUGUGCCCUGCGCUCUUGACAGUUUCUAGUGAUAUGCCUUUAGUUUGGGGAGGGUUUAAGUUUUCUUGUUUGCAAAAUGGUCAUGAUAAAAGCAGAAAUAACAGUCUUUGAAUGUGAUGAAAAUUGAAUUUUUUCAUAAUACAGACAAGUAGACACAAACUCUUUUUGGAGCUCCUAAGCUCUCUUAGAAAAGUGCCUGUGACUUAUGUAGAAAUAUUUGAAGUAAGGUAUGAAGAUGGAGAGAUAGCACUGGCUUCUUUAUAUGUAACCAGCUUCUCCAUUGCUUCAGAUCUAUCUCCAAAGCAUCUCAGGACCAGCAUACUUGGUAUAUGUAGAAUGCCAGUCUUUUUCAGAGGCAGCUGAUAUUUGAUGUAGCUAAGCCACAAUUGGUCCUGAGGGAAAAACGCAGUAGCAGGUCACAUGGGGGAUCCAAAAGCUGGGUACAGGAGGCAAAGGCAGGUAAAUCUCUGUUGAAUUCAAGGCCAGCCUAGUCUAACAGACCAGCCAUUGCUCUAUGUAGUGGAGACCUGUUUCAAACAAACAAACAAACAAACUCAAAAGACUGUCAUUUUUUGAAGGGAGUAAAACCAGCUGUUUUAUGCAUACUGUUUAUGUGUGUCAGGAAAUGCUAGAUGCUCAUGUACACUAAUUCAUUUAUUUCAUAAACCUCUUGCAAAAUAAAACUGUUAAUUCCACUUUACAGAGAAACUUAUAGAAUUACUUAUGAAUUAGUUAUUUCAAUGAUCAGAGUGAAAAAUCUUACCUGGCUCCAGACUCCAUUUUCCCUAAUUCCGCAAACAUUUGUUGUAUGUAUCCUGUGUGCCUAGGCUACAUUAGCUUUGGAGUUUGUCUCUACCUUCAGAUAAUGUAAUGAAUUUCUUAGCCUGAUCAGUAGUGUGAUGAGGUGGCAUGGGAGGCUUGCCUGUGCUCACUCGCUUCAGUGUUUCGAUGAAGGACAGUCCAUGGUGCCUACACAGACAGUAGUGCUGGACAGCCAAACGUUGAAGAGUCAUAGAUCUUACUUCAGACUUAGAAAUUGGAAUCUUUAGGGUUGAGAUCCAGGUAUCAAUAAAUUUUAUAGUUUAUGAAUGGAGAUGAAUGGAGAUAGCCACUUACCAUAUUAUUAAGGAAAAGUGAAAACUUGUGAUAGGCUUAACAAACUCAAUAAUACUUCACCUUAAGACCUCUCCUUUACACGAUACAUUAAAUUGAUUGAAGUGAGUCAUAGACUCAACUAUGAAAAGUUAAAUAACACAAUCUUUAGAGUAAAUUAGCAGGAAAGUAUCUUUGACUUUGAGAUAAGUGGUCACUACUAAAGCUAAAUGUAUUAUCCUAACACCCCUUAUAAGACAGACAGAUACAUACAUCUAGCAAAAGACUCAUGUAAGAAUAGGAAUGACAUCUUAACUUAUAAUAGCUGGAUACUGAAAGUUACAUGAUGAAAUAUUCCUUUCAUACAAAGGAGUAUCCCAUAGCAGUAAAACAAAUGAACUGUAACUCACUUAGCAACAUGAGUAAACCUCACAGGCAUCUGUGAAUAAAGGAGACUGGACCAGCAGACAGGGUGGCUAAGCCUGCAGUGAAGCCUCCCAGCUUGACUUCAGCCCCUGGGACCCACAUGAUGGGAGAGGAUUGAGUCCCAUAGGCUGGCCUGACGCUACGCAUGCCAUUGGCAUAAACAUCAAAUAAAUAAAUGAAAGUAUACAGUUUUUUAUUGUCUUUUGGGGGGAGAGGAGGGGCAGUGUUUGCUUUGUUUUGUUUCCUGGAACUCUCUCUAGGACCAGGCUAACCUUGAACUCAGAUCCAUGUCUCUGUCUCUGCCUCUGUCUCCUGAGUGCUGGGAUUAAAGGUGUGUGCCACCAAUGCCCUGCUUGGUUUGUUUGUUUGUUUGUUUGUUUGUUUUCUUAUACAGGGUCUUAUUAUGUAGCUCUGGCUGGCCUGGAGUAAGUAACCAGGAUGAGCCUUGAAUUUACAAAGAUCUGCCUGUUUGUUCCUGAGUUUCACCACACCUGGCUACUUCUCACUUUUUGAGAUUUUGGGGUGUGUGUAUGUAGGAGGGUACUUGGAUUCCAUCCAGGGCAUCUUUACAAGUGCCUUUCUGUUUGCCUCAAAAGGCUAAGCUUUAUUUGAUUUCCCCAAAUAAUUGUGGGGUCAAGAGAAACUCCCAUCUGUUUAAAUGAAAGAGUUACACAUGAAGCUUUGUGUUUGAACUCUCUAGUGUUCCAUCUCACUUGCUCAUUUACAUUGCUUUGAGAUCCUUGGCCUUUUCUGCCUGUCUGAGUACUGCUUUUCUCUGCACUAAGGUUAAACAAAACAACAAGCAAGAGUUUAAACCAGUCAGUAGCCAGAUGGUGUAGGCCACUAUCUGAGGUACUUGUGGCUUUUCUGGUGGGGGCCUCAUCAGAAUGGAAUAAGGAAGCCUCAUUCUUCUGAAAAUAGGGCUGCCACUUCCCACUAGAUAACCUCUAAUUAGCUCAGAUGGAUUUGAAGUGUAAAGGAGCUUUGCCUAAUAGACACUGUCAUUUUUUGCAUGUGUUUUCUCCCAAUGUAGAAUGUAUCUUGCUCAGGUACAGAGUUGAGAGCCUAAAAGAUAUCUAGUAACAGAAUGUGACUCCUAAUCACCUUCCUCAAGCUUCAGACAUUCAUGUUAAUUUUUUAUUGUGUGUGCCACAAGUAGGAAAGUUGUACAAAUUUGCUACACUGGCUGAUUUAAGAUUUUAAAAUAUGUAAAAAUGAGGUAAUUGUUUCCACAUGAUGAAAAUUUUCUUUGUGAAGAAACUGAAAAAUAUUUUCUGCUGAAAAAAAUUCUCACUAUAAGCAUUUUAAUUUAAAAGGAAAUAUACAUAAUUCUUCUAGAAACAUCCAAACAAUAAAUCCCUCUGUGUUUAACUGGCUUCAACUUGAGGGAAGGCUUUUUCAUUAAAGAAAGUUAUAAUUGAAAACCACUUUUUGUUUGUUUGUUGUUUGUUUGUUUGUUUGUUUUGUCUAACAGGGUUUCUCUGUAUAGCCCUAGCUGGUUUAGAACCAGAUCUCAAACUCAGAGAUCUUCCUGCCUCUGUCUCCCAGGUGCUGGGAUUAAAGGUAUAUACCACCCCUGCCUGGCUUGAAAACAAAUUUUUAGAGACCAGGUCUCACUAUGCAGACCUGACUGGCCUUGAACUCUUGCAUAAACCAUGCUUUUGCAAACUCACAGAGAUCCAGCUGCUUCUGCCUCCCAAAUUUUGGGAUUAAAGGUGUAUGCCACCUACCUGGCAACAAAUCUUGAUUUAAAAUUUUAAAAUGGCAUUGGAGAGAUGACCCCGCUGUUCUUCUAGAGGACUCAGAUUCAACUCCCAACAGUCACAUGGCAGCUCACAACUGUCUAUAACUCCAUUUUCAAUCUGACAUCCUCACAGAGACAUGUAUGCAAGCAAAACACUAAUACACAUAAAAACAAAUC
rnacentral:lncRNA from 1 species